rnacentral:lncRNA from 1 species
AAUAAUUUAGGCCCCUAUAUUGAGCAUAAUAGUGAAAAAACUUCCUUUUAAUUUUCAAUCAAAGUUAGACUAUUGUUAAUUCUCAGCAUACAUAACUUCACAAUUUUACAGUUUAACAAUUUUUUUAAAUCAAACAAAAAAAAACAACAAUUUUUCGUUAUAUGAAAUAACAAAUCUCAAAAGCCGAAUAAUUUGUACAAUUCCUAGAGGCUCAUUCCCCCGGAGAAGUAAUCAUUUGCAUAGGCCAUAUGCAUG